UCUACAGAAUUUUCUUUCAAUAUCAUUCAAAAACUAAUGAGAAUAGAAGCCUAAAAGUCUAUUUAUAGUUAUUACAUAAAAGGCUAAACUAUGCUUAUUGAAAAGGGGCUCCUAUGGAGUGUAAAGUAAAGGCAUCAAAAGAGCAUAAUGCCCUUAAUGAGAGUAGAAAAGGGGCGGCUUUGGAGUGAAAGACUCCCACU
rnacentral:lncRNA from 1 species